UAGCCGCCACGAUUAGGGUUUCUCACAGCGUUUCUUUUACAAUUUUAGGGUUCCAUUUUCGACUGAACACAAUCUCUUUUUCAGUUGAAAGCGCAGCCCUUAAGAUCGCCUUCCUCGACAAAGAAUGGAAGCGUUUUGAGUCAUAGCUGCGCAAUAUCAACCAAAAUUCAUUUUGGGGUUCUCAUUAGGGUUUUCCUUUCGAGUUUCCCUUAUUAUCUCACCUGAAGUUUCUUAAUGAGGCAAUAUCUCUGCUAUUCCCUAUUUUUUUGGGCGCAAAGGUAUGUAGUUUCAUAAGCUGCUAUAUCUAUGGUUGCUUCCACUAAACGGGAAUUCGCAGGUCCAUUAUUGUCUCAAAUUCUGAUAACUCAAGGUCGAUGAUGAUAAACUUUUAAGGCUUGUUUCUCAAGACAUUCGCAGUGGCUGCCUGAGAACUUUCGCCUUCGCCAGGCUUGAGAGUUAGUGCUGCUAUAAUCCUUCCUUGGAUGUCUGAGGCCUUACUCUAACCACUUCUAACAACGUUCUAUACUUCUAUAAUUAUACAAAGUUUGUGCUGCUAUAUGAACAUGUCGGUUCGCAGUUUUGUUUUAUUUUUAAAAUGAAGUAUGUUGUUUCUUGUCUGUAAGAACAUACCAUGAUUAUUUGCUAACACAUUGUACAAAGUAUACCUCUAAGAGUUGAGUUUUCUUUGGAUGAUAUUGGUGGCUGGUUCGAAAAUACAAGGUUGAUGAUGAUAACUU